rnacentral:rRNA from 1 species
AUUGAACGCUGGCGGCAUGCCUUACACAUGCAAGUCGAACGGUAACAGGUCUUCGGAUGCUGACGAGUGGCGAACGGGUGAGUAAUACAUCGGAACGUGCCCGUUCGUGGGGGAUAACGAGGCGAAAGCUUUGCUAAUACCGCAUACGAUCUACGGAUGAAAGCGGGGGAUCUUCGGACCUCGCGCGGACGGAGCGGCCGAUGGCAGAUUAGGUAGUUGGUGGGAUAAAAGCUUACCAAGCCGACGAUCUGUAGCUGGUCUGAGAGGAUGAUCAGCCACACUGGGACUGAGACACGGCCCAGACUCCUACGGGAGGCAGCAGUGGGGAAUUUUGGACAAUGGGCGAAAGCCUGAUCCAGCCAUGCCGCGUGCAGGAUGAAGGCCUUCGGGUUGUAAACUGCUUUUGUACGGAACGAAAAGCCUCUUUCUAAUAAAGAGGGGUCAUGACGGUACCGUAAGAAUAAGCACCGGCUAACUACGUG